rnacentral:ncRNA from 1 species
AGGAAUGCGAUGAUGAGGCUAGUACUUUGCAUGAGCCAGGCCCAGAGAGUCGGUGGCGGGUGAAAACCGAUCCGGCGUGCAAAGGAAUCCACCUCGGAGUGGCAAAGGUUCAAACUUUGCCCGGAACCGUCCCGUUACGACGGAUGAGAGUGGGCAAAUGCGGAUGGAAACGUACGACGCAUUUGUCAACAAGGGUGGCAACGCGGGUAUACGACACUCGUCCCUUAC